UGGUCAAGGUCCUAGCUACUNGAAAACAGA
rnacentral:piRNA from 1 species